GCCGCUUUGGCCGAGUGGUUAAGGCGAUGGUUUUAAGUUGGGCCAAGCCCUUACUCACCAUUAACGCAAGUUGCGUGAGUUCGAACCUCACAGGCGGCA